CGUUUCCAGGGUGGAUUUAUGCCGUUCUGUGGAUAUUUGAGGGAGGAACUGAGUAUUUCCUGACCGGACGAAGUUUGGACAAGAAACGAAAAUCGUCAUGGCGGGAAGGACGGCGUGGUGCUGAGAAGACUCGUUCUUUCAUGAGAGCAUGUCCUGAGGGUCAGCUGUCCUGACUGGCGACUCCAGUCCAAACAAGUUGACUGCAAAUGACAUUGUGGAUGAUCUGGAGACUGGACUGUAGCAGGAAGAAGGACCAGACAUUUUGUUGGCAGAUGUCAACCUGUGUAAAAGAAGAUGGGGA